rnacentral:rRNA from 1 species
UGCAGUCGAACGAUACUCUUUAGCUUGCUAGAGAGGAAAGUGGCGCACGGGUGCGUAACGCGUAUGCAACCUACCUUAAUCAGGGGGAUAGCCCGAAGAAAUUCGGAUUAACACCGCAUAAAAUCACAGUACAGCAUUGUACAAUGAUCAAAUAUUUAUAGGAUUAAGAUGGGCAUGCGUGACAUUAGUUAGUUGGCGGGGUAACGGCCCACCAAGACCACGAUGUCUAGGGGAUCUGAGAGGAUGACCCCCCACACUGGUACUGAGACACGGACCAGACUCCUACGGGAGGCAGCAGUAAGGAAUAUUGGUCAAUGGAGGCAACUCUGAACCAGCCAUGCCGCGUGCAGGAAGACAGCCCUCUGGGUCGUAAACUGCUUUUAUUCGGGAAUAAACCUACUUACGUGUAAGUAGCUGAAUGUACCGAAGGAAUAAGGAUCGGCUAACUCCGUGCCAGCAGCCGCGGUAAUACGGAGGAUCCAAGCGUUAUCCGGAUUUAUUGGGUUUAAAGGGUGCGUAGGCGGCUUUUUAAGUCAGGGGUGAAAGACGGUGGCUCAACCAUCGCAGUGCCCUUGAUACUGAAGAGCUUGAAUGAAUUAGAGGUAGGCGGAAUGUGACAAGUAGCGGUGAAAUGCAUAGAUAUGUCACAGAACACCGAUUGCGAAGGCAGCUUACUAUGAUUUUAUUGACGCUGAGGCACGAAAGCGUGGGGAUCAAACAGGAUUAGAUACCCUGGUAGUCCACGCCCUAAACGAUGAAUACUCGCUGUUAGCGAUACACAGUUAGCGGCUAAGCGAAAGCGUUAAGUAUUCCACCUGGGGAGUACGGUCGCAAGAUUGAAACUCAAAGGAAUUGACGGGGGCCCGCACAAGCGGAGGAGCAUGUGGUUUAAUUCGAUGAUACGCGAGGAACCUUACCCGGGCUUGAAAGUUAGUGAAUCAUUUAGAGAUAGAUGAGUCCGCAAGGACACGAAACUAGGUGCUGCAUGGCUGUCGUCAGCUCGUGCCGUGAGGUGUUGGGUUAAGUCCCGCAACGAGCGCAACCCCUAUGUUUAGUUGCCAGCACGUCAUGGUGGGGACUCUAAACAGACUGCCUGUGCAAACAGAGAGGAAGGAGGGGACGACGUCGAGUCAUCAUGGCCCUUACGUCCGGGGCUACACACGUGCUACGAUGGAUGGUACAGAGGGCAGCGAGCUGGUAACAGCGAGCGAAUCUCCGAAAGCCGUUCACAGUUCGGAUAGAGGUCUGCGACUCGACCUCUUGAAGUUGGAUUCGCUAGUAAUCGUAUAUCAGCGAUGAUACGGUGAAUACGUUCCCGGGCCUUGUACACACCGCCCGUCAAGCCAUGUUAGUUG